AUUAAGGAUGCGCCUCACUUCCGGCGGAUAGGUGACGGGCCCGAGUACUGCCUGGAGAUCCUGUGCGCCAAACUCGACUUCACCGGCGCCUAUUCGGUCAUCGCCAAGAACUGUUAUGGCGAGGCCAAGGCCGUGAUCUCGCUGCAGAUCACCGCCAAGGAUUAAGGAGCUGUGUCAGAAGGACAAACUCCUGGAGCACCAGCGGAAGAUGAUCGUCGAGAUCCAGAUAAAGCUAGAGGAAAAGCAGAGGGAGCCGGAGGAGCUGCGGCAGUCGCUGGACACGCGGCACUCGGCCGUGGACAGGCUGGAGGUGCACGCAAGCAGCAGCUGCAGCAGCGGCUCCUCUAGGCCGACGAGAAGCUGGAAAAGUCGGUCAAGGUGGUACAGACGCCGGUGUCGCGCAACCAAGAGCUGGCGGCGCGCGCGGACCAAAUCAGCGCGAUACAGCACGACGAGACGUAGCACCUGUGGCGCGAACUGGACGAACGCCGGCGCCAGGUGGAAUAGCCGAGCCGCGAGAAGGCGGUCCUGGAGGCGAGGAGGGAGCUGCUGCCCCCGGAGGUUGGCUUCGUGCUGGCACGCCUCGACGAGCUGGCCGCCCUGCUGCGCCGGCCGCACCUGCUCGCCAGCUUUUCGGUUGCCAACCGCUGCUCCCUCCUCCAUCUGCUCGACCAGAGCCGCUCCCUU